GGGUGCUGAGAGGUACUCACGGGUUCUUGAUCCGAAGGUCACAAUGCUCUGACCUGCACGUUCGUCUCGCCCUUACAAGGCGAAGGUCGGGGGUUCGAGACCCUCAGCGCCCA
rnacentral:tRNA from 1 species